rnacentral:rRNA from 1 species
AAUCAACGCUGGCGGCGUGCCUCAGACAUGCAAGUCGAACGAUUAAAGCUCUCUUCGGAGAGUGCAUAGAGUGGCGCACGGGUGAGUAACACGUAAGUAAUCUACCUUCGAGUGGGGAAUAACGUCCGGAAACGGACGCUAAUACCGCAUAAUGCAGCGGCAUCAUAAGAUGACAGUUGUUAAAGAUUUAUCGCUUGAAGAGGAGCUUGCGGCAGAUUAGCUAGUUGGUAAGGUAAUGGCUUACCAAGGCUACGAUCUGUAACCGGUCUAAGAGGACGGUCGGUCACACUGACACUGAAUAACGGGUCAGACUCCUACGGGAGGCAGCAGUCGGGAAUUUUGGGCAAUGGGCGAAAGCCUGACCCAGCAACGCCGCGUGAAGGAUGAAGUAUUUCGGUAUGUAAACUUCGAAAGAAUGGGAAGAAUAAAUGACGGUACCAUUUAUAAGGUCCGGCUAACUACGUGCCAGCAGCCGCGGU